AAAGGUCGGCGGGUGCUAUAAUGCAGUCGACGCGUUGGCCCAAUUGAUUGAUGGUGCUUGCACCUGAUUGAUUUUGGUCGCCAACGAGUGGCGGACGGGUGAGUAACACGUAGGUAACCUGCCCAGAAGCGGGGGACAACAUUUGGAAACAGAUGCUAAUACCGCAUAACAACGUUGUUCGCAUGAACAACGCUUAAAAGAUGGCUUCUCGCUAUCACUUCUGGAUGGACCUGCGGUGCAUUAGCUUGUUGGUGGGGUAACGGCCUACCAAGGCGAUGAUGCAUAGCCGAGUUGAGAGACUGAUCGGCCACAAUGGGACUGAGACACGGCCCAUACUCCUACGGGAGGCAGCAGUAGGGAAUCUUCCACAAUGGGCGCAAGCCUGAUGGAGCAACACCGCGUGAGUGAAGAAGGGUUUCGGCUCGUAAAGCUCUGUUGUUAAAGAAGAACACGUAUGAGAGUAACUGUUCAUACGUUGACGGUAUUUAACCAGAAAGUCACGGCUAACUACGUGCCAGCAGCCGCGGUAAUACGUAGGUGGCAAGCGUUAUCCGGAUUUAUUGGGCGUAAAGAGAGUGCAGGCGGUUUUCUAAGUCUGAUGUGAAAGCCUUCGGCUUAACCGGAGAAGUGCAUCGGAAACUGGAUAACUUGAGUGCAGAAGAGGGUAGUGGAACUCCAUGUGUAGCGGUGGAAUGCGUAGAUAUAUGGAAGAACACCAGUGGCGAAGGCGGCUACCUGGUCUGCAACUGACGCUGAGACUCGAAAGCAUGGGUAGCGAACAGGAUUAGAUACCCUGGUAGUCCAUGCCGUACACGAUGAGUGCUAUGUGUUGGAGGGUUUCCGCCCUUCAGUGCCGGAGCUAACGCAUUAAGCACUCCGCCUGGGGAGUACGACCGCAAGGUUGAAACUCAAAGGAAUUGACGGGGGCCCGCACAAGCGGUGGAGCAUGUGGUUUAAUUCGAAGCUACGCGAAGAACCUUACCAGGUCUUGACAUCUUGCGCCACCCUAGAGAUAGGGCGUUUCCUUCGGGAACGCAAUGACAGGUGGUGCAUGUCGUCGUCAGCUCGUGUCGUGAGAUGUUGGGUAAGUCCCGCACGAGCGCACCGUGUUACUAGUGCAGCAUUAGUUGGCAACUCUAGUGGAGACUGCGGUGACAAUGAGAAGUGGGUACGACGUCGAUCAUAGUGCCCUUAUAGACUGGGUCCUACCCACGUGUCCUCUACAAUUGA
rnacentral:rRNA from 1 species